rnacentral:rRNA from 1 species
UACGAAGGGGGCUAGCGUUGCUCGGAAUUACUGGGCGUAGAGGGCGCGUAGGCGGACAGUUUAGUCAGAGGUGAAAGCCCAGGGCUCAACCUUGGAAUUGCCUUUGAUACUGGCUGUCUUGAGUUCGGGAGAGGUGAGUGGAAUGCCGAGUGUAGAGGUGAAAUUCGUAGAUAUUCGGCGGAACACCAGUGGCGAAGGCGACUCACUGGCCCGAUACUGACGCUGAGGCGCGAAAGCGUGGGGAGCAAACAGG